UGGCUCCGGCGUCGAUGAAGAACGCAGCGAAAUGCGAUAAGUAAUGUGAAUUGCAGAAUUCAGUGAACCAUCGAAUCUUUGAACGCACAUUGCGCCCACCAGCACUCUGGUGGGCAUGCCUGUCCGAGCGUCAGUGCAACCCCUCGGGGCCGCCCUGCAGGGCCCCGGCGCUGGGGAUCAUCCGCCCCCCGAAGAGGGGGGGAGCGGCUGGCCCUGAAAUGCAGCGGCAGACCCGCCGCAGGCCUCCCUCUGCGCAGUACAGCGAUACGUGCCGCAGCUGGGACCGCGUGCCGGGCCGGCCUGAGCAGGACGUCGUCUCGCGCGCCGCCGCGUGGUUGACCUCGGAUCAGGUAGGGAUACCCGCUGA
rnacentral:misc_RNA from 1 species